rnacentral:tRNA from 1 species
GGGCCGUUAGCUCAGUGGUAGAGCUGCGGACUUUUAAUCCGUAGGUCGAUGGUUCGAAUCCAUCACGGCCCACCA